AAAAAAGUAACAUUCGAUUCAUGUAGUUUAUUCUUGAUGUACUUAUUUCCCUUCUGUUCUGAACCAAAACUUCACUUUGCAAUAAAUGACUGGCGGAUGAAGCACAAAAGACAUCUCCUGGCUGUGACAGUGCCUCUGUGGAUUGUGUGGCUGUGAAUCCAUCAAUUGAUCCUCCUCUGGCCUACAUUCCUAUUUUCCUCCUUUGUAACUACUCCUCUUCUCUGUGGUAAGAACAUAAUUAAUCUACGUGAGGGAAACAAUAGCAAAUGUCAGACUGAACAUUAUAUGAUUGGAUUAUUUUUCAUCAAUUUAUAAAAAGCACAAGCCUGUGUUUAUGGUUGAAAUUUUGGAUGCCUGAGAAGAUCAUUAAUGUUUUGAUAAAAACAGGUGGCAAGAAUCUUCAGAGGUCACCCUGCCGCCCAUCUUUCAUUGAUGUCUCAAGUGGACAAGGGUGAAGGAGCUGUCUUUAUCUGUAGUGUUGUCAUUCUUGUGUCAGAGGAAAAGAGAAGACAAUGAAAACAUGAGACUCAAAGCUUCUGCUUCAUAGUGUCACUGAAACUGAAACUGUGAGUACAAGUAGCUAAGUAUCAGCUUUAUUUUUAUUUACAUUUUAUUGACAAAGCUAGUCAUGUGAUCCAGCCUGACAUUAUUAGGUUAAGAACAUGUAAUCCUCCCAUGGGAAUGAUAAUUCAAUUACUAUAGGGCUGCAACCAGACAUAGGAUGCUGGUCUGUGAUCAUGGAGGAAGGGAAGCAUCUCUACGUAUGAGACCUCACCAUGAGCUAGUGCAGGUUCUGGCCUUACACUAUCUGAAUGGGGCCAGAGUCCGAAGCCCUAGUGUGAGGCCUUCUUUAGAUCCCUGUAAGCACAAAUUACAAAGCACUCAGGAAAGUGUAGGUCUAUGAAAAAGAAUUUACAAACCUAACAAACAGAGACUUUAUACCAAGAAAUAGGAAUAAUAGACUAAUCCAAAAGGCUUUAUGAUAAAAAAAAUAUGUUUAAGUGUUUAAAGAUAUAACAGAGGACGGGUAUCAGUGAGCCGAGAUCAGGAGGCAAUGAAAAAAGAAUAGGUGGAUAUGAAGACUAGCACAGUUCUGCAUGCCUGUAAUCCCAGCAACGUGGAAGGCAGUUUAGCAAGACCCUAUUUUAAUGGCUGAUGUAGUUCAGUGGUACAGUGUUUGUUUAGCAUGUAUGAGGUCCAGGGAUAUAUCCUUAGUGCCACAGAAACAACAACAACAACAACAAAAAAACCUAAUCUGAACCAGUCAGGAUUCAGUUCAGAAACCCAAAACUAUUCUAAGUACUUUUAGCAGAAUGGAGUACAGGGAAUUAGCUGCUUCCAAAAUCACUACCAGGCCUAAUAGUCUAAUUAUCCAGAUGUAAUUUUAAAAAAUUGCUUCUAGCAGUUUCUAGCAGAUACUAUGCAUUAUAUGAGUCUUUAUUAGAUAAAAAUUUUAAAAGAUCAGUUGAGAGCUGUUGUGGGAUUAAUGAUUUCAAUCUAUCAUCAUAGCCAUAAUUCAGAUGUCAGGAAGCCAGCUCCGCUGCCACCAAUACAGUUUCCUCCGGUCCACAAAGGUGGUGAUCGUUUGCUGGAAUACUGAGACCAGGCGGAUUUGGUUCUUGGCUGCCACCAUGGCAGCAGGAUGUAGUUUCCUUCUUGUUUCCAUUCUCCUGCUCCUGUACGUAUGCAUGUGAUUGGUCAGAGCUGAAUCCUCCAGAACUCUGUCAUGU